CCUACGGGGGGCAGCAGUGGGGAAUAUUGCACAAUGGGGGAAACCCUGAUGCAGCGACGCCGCGUGAGCGAUGAAGUAUUUCGGUAUGUAAAGCUCUAUCAGCAGGGAAGAAAAUGACGGUACCUGACUAAGAAGCCCCGGCUAACUACGGGCCAGCAACCGCGGUAAUACGUAGGGGGCAAGCGUUAUCCGGAUUUACUGGGUGUAAAGGGAGCGUAGACGGGUUUGCAAGCCGGAUGUGAACGGCUGGGGCUCAACCCCAGGACUGCAUUUUGAACUGUCAUGCUAGAGUGUCGGAGAGGCAGGCGGAAUUCCUGGUGUAGCGGUGAAAUGCGUAGAUAUGAGGAGGAACACCAGUGGCGAAGGCGGCCUGCUGGACGAUGACUGACGUUGAGGCUCGAAAGCGUGGGGAGCAAACAGGAUUAGAUACCCUAGUAGUC
rnacentral:rRNA from 1 species